rnacentral:rRNA from 1 species
UUGGGAAUCUUGCACAAUGGGGGAAACCCUGAUGCAGCGACGCCGCGUGGAGGAUGAAGGAUCUAGGUCUGUAAACUCCUUUUGUCAGGAAAGACUUAGGACGGUACCUGACGAAUAAGGACCGGCUAACUACGUGCCAGCAGCCGCGGUAAGACGUAGGGUCCAAGCGUUGUCCGGAUUUACUGGGCGUAAAGAGCGCGUAGGCGGCUUGUUAAGUGUGGUGUGAAAUCUCCAGGGCUCAACCCGGAAA